CUUCUGGGGGGCAGGAGUACGUCUUGCGGGUGGGCAUGUCGGAGAUGUGACUCUCAUAUUGCAUGGGGGUAUGCAUUUGGGUUUGCAUUUUGGCACAACUAAGGAUAAGGAUAGGGAUCCUUGAGGAGAUCUUUUUUCAGACUGGGUGAAAAUGAAAGCGCACGAUCGAUCAGCUUCUGCUCCGCAAAUCCGCUCCGGCGAUCAUGCGUGCGCCGUGGAGAGAGCCCGUCAACUGACUGCUAUGUGGUCCGCUCUAGCCACCGGGAAAUGGACUCGAGUGCCCCACAGACCCCAGAGACUUAUCUCUCGGAUGGCGGGGAGCGUUACAAAGAGCGCUAUCAUGCUUACAUGUGACUCGGUUCUUUUGGACCCUUGCUUACAGGUGAGCACUCCUUGUUGUGGCGAUAAAGAACUCCACAAUUAUGAACACCAUGAAUGAACGCACGGCUUACGAACGAUUUCUGCUCCGUAACGAUGAUGUUCACAAAUCGGUACCUUUGGUAAGCACAAUUGUCUGCCAUAAUUUUCCAUUUCAGGGUAGAUGUACGGCUAUACAGCACUUUGGAAAACUUUACGCGCGUCAUCCAGACAUUUGGGAAUUUCGUUUCGUUGAAAUGAUAACUAAAAUCCGUUCAAAGUCCGCCCAAAAUCAACAAAUAAAUACUUAUUCAUACAUCUUUAAAUCAACAUAAUAUCAUAGUUCUCUUAAAUGCUUAUAAGGAGGUUAUUAAAGCAAAUAAUUGUUCUCUUAUACAGUCUAUUAUUAUGUCUCCAUUUUUAGUAGUUUAGGCAUGAUUGUAACUUUCGCCCUAACGGGCUUUCAUAAUAUUUCGUUUAAGAGUUUAAUACCCUCAAAUCUGACAGUAUCUGAUAAAUCAUUGUUACCAAGCAAUCAAAUCAUGGCAAUAAAUUUAGACGUAUCGAGUCAUGACGGUGCUCACACAUUUGUUCAUGGAGAUAUUGUCUUGUUAAAUAAUCAUGAAGAUAGAAAUUAAAAUACUAUAAAUUAUAUUACACUAUUAAUUGAACA